ACAAAAACUGCCGCCGCAGCUCUCUCUCCCUUUUGUUACCCAAGUCAAGCUAUCUCUCCCUUCUCUAUUGCCACCAAGUCAAGCACCAAUUGGAGACUCAGACACUCGUUAAUGGCGGAGGGAGCAGCUUGCAGUGGUUCGCUAACAAUUCCAGAGCGACGCUUUCGAGCUUCCUCUAUAUAUGCACUGUCGAGUAGAGCCACAACUCCACGAGUAGCGACGCCGGAAGUGAACUGGUCUCCGUACCAGAAACUCAACUCGAUCAAGAGAUCGGAUAGAUAUAGGUCGAGUCCUGAGUUUGCAGCCACUUCUGCCAAUCGCAAAGCUGCCACUUCUGCCGAUCGCAAAGUCGCCACCACCUCAGAACCUGAUUCGCCGUCGUCGAUGAUGUCUUGAGUUCUUCUGAUCCACCGCCAUGAGUUUCAUCUUUGGCAAACGGAAAACACCCGCAAGUUCACAUACUUGAUCGAAUUUCUGGUUUCGUUGUCUCUACUAUCAUAAGAAUUACUUUUCCUAUAGUUUCUAUUCGUUGAAAAUUUACAUGAUUUGUGAAGCUGUUCAUGGAAAUAUUGCAAUUUUUUUUUUGUUCGAUAUUUUUGGCAAGGUUGAUCGAAUGUAUAUUUUAUUGUUGCUCGCCAUGACUGGUAAUGCCGACAGUCUGAGAGAUUGUUAAGAGUAUAAGCUUGUUGUUGAAUUUGUUUCAUAUUAUUAGUUAAAAGUAGGGAAACAGUAGUGAGCCAACAGUAUUAUCAAUGCUUAUGUAACAGUACGAAUAAUAAUUGGCACUUCUCCCUUAAUUAAUUGUGAAUUGGAGAAACUUAUUGUGUUUGUUUCACUUCAAGAGAUUAGAGGAACAUUGGUCUUGUUAUUUUUUUGAUAAGAAAAUAAAACUAUUUAAAGAAGGAAGCCUCUUGUUAUUGUUGAAAGGGAUUUUGCAUGGUUAUAGGUGGUGAAAGACUCCAAGUCAAGUCUAUUUGUGUUUAUGUUUUGUCAGAAGACAAACUAUUUGCAAAAUUGGAUUCUCCUGAGGCACCCCAAUGUUAUAACCUUCUAUAUAUUGAAUUGGCUAAUUGAAGUUCUCGACCUUUUGUGUCUUAUUUACUGCACAGUUUUCACCUUUGCAUCUUUUAUGCUUUCGAAUUGCAUUUGUUGGUUUUUUAAUUGAUACUUUAAUCACUGUACUUCGUAGCAUUGUAAUUUUACUGUUGGUUCAUAGCAUCUUGCACAUGUUGCUUACUGGUCUACUGUGCAUCGUUUCAGUAAAUGCCACCGUGACAAAUACUCAAAUCAUGUUCCGUGUAGUCUUGGUUCAUAGCAUCUUGCACAUGCUGCUUGUUCAUGGGUUUUUGUGGCAGUCGCGCACUUGUAUUUCAGUUUUGACAGGCCACAAUCAUUAUGUAUCUGUGCCUCAUUCCAUCCUAAAGAAGACCUUGUUGUAUCUACCUCCUUGGAUCAAACUGUCCGUGUUUGGGAUAUUGGUUCUCUGAAAAAGAAGUCUGUGUCUCCUACGGAUGAUGUACUGUGACUAAGUCAGAUGAACAUAGAUCUUCUUGGUGGUGUUGUUGCUGUUGUUAAGUAUGUCUUGGAAGGGCAUGACCGAGGUGUCAAUUGGGCUUCAUUCCACCACAACCUGCCUCUCAUUGUCUCAGGAGCAGAUGAUUGCUAAGUUAAAUUGUGGCCAUCUAGGCAAGAUCACCUGUUCUGGUGUAAGGUUCUUUUCAAAUUUUGGAUGGUUACUCUUUGGACAGUGUGGAUAUAUUUUGAAUUUCUCAACCAGAUUCUUUUUUUUCCCCUUACUUUUUGUUUCUCAACCAGAUUGUUAGAAGUUACCUCUUUGGUACAUGAAUAUUUAUAUAAUUUUUAAUCUUAGAUUUUUAAUUGUA